rnacentral:rRNA from 1 species
UGCAGUCGACGGUAGCAGGCCUUCGGGCGCUGACGAGUGGCGGACGGGUGAGUAACGCGUAGGAAUCUGCCUCAUAGUGGGGGACAACGUGGGGAAACUCACGCUAAUACCGCAUACGCCCGACGGGGGAAAGCGGGGGAUCUUCGGACCUCGCGCUAUGAGAUGAGCCUGCGUUAGAUUAGCUAGUUGGUAGGGUAAAGGCCUACCAAGGCGACGAUCUAUAGCUGGUCUGAGAGGACGAUCAGCCACACUGGGACUGAGACACGGCCCAGACUCCUACGGGAGGCAGCAGUGGGGAAUAUUGGACAAUGGGCGCAAGCCUGAUCCAGCAAUACCGCGUGUGUGAAGAAGGCCCUAGGGUUGUAAAGCACUUUCAAUUGGGAGGAAAACCUGCCGGUCAAUACCCGGCAGCUUGACAUUACCUUUAGAAGAAGCACCGGCUAACUCCGUGCCAGCAGCCGCGGUAAUACGGAGGGUGCAAGCGUUAAUCGGAAUUACUGGGCGUAAAGCGUGCGUAGGCGGUUCGUUAAGUCAGAUGUGAAAGCCCCGGGCUUAACCUGGGAACUGCAUUUGAAACUGGCGGACUUGAGUUGAGUAGAGGGGAGUGGAAUUUCAGGUGUAGCGGUGAAAUGCGUAGAUAUCUGAAGGAACACCAGUGGCGAAGGCGACUCCCCGGACUCAAACUGACGCUGAGGUACGAAAGCGUGGGUAGCAAACAGGAUUAGAUACCCUGGUAGUCCACGCUGUAAACGAUGUCAACUAGCCGUUGGUCCUAUUUACAGGAUUAGUGGCGCAGCUAACGCAUUAAGUUG